ACAGGACCCUCCUUUUCGGUGUCACUCAUAUGGUCCAAAGGAAAGCAAAGCAAUGCAUUUGGCACUGGCUUGGCUGCAGGAGUUGCCAGAAGGAGGCAUACAAGGCGCCAUCCAACCAUCUUAGGGACUCCACUCUGGAUUUGUGUAGGAUUUACUCCUUGGCCCUUUCUUCUCUUGAAGAUAUCCCGUAAGGCAGCAGAAUUUUCCUUCUCCUUCUAGAUAGGCUACCUUCCCAAGUUGACAAGCCCCAGGUGCCCAUCACUUCCUUCGACUAUUUGGGUCUGAGGUAUUACAAAUAUCUGAAAAUGCAAAUGGAUUUCCAACUUUGCAGACGGAGGAUGCAGCUUUCUGCUCAGACAUGUGAAAUCAAUUCCCAAGAACAAGCUGAUUUUUGGAAGAAGAAGAAAUUUCUGCAAAUGUGAUGCAAAAGUUGGCUGUGCACGAUGCCGGAAUGUCACUCUGCCCAUGUCAUCAAGAAACCUCCUACACACAAGAAACUGCUUCCUGGAGCAGAUUUGCUCUUUAAAAUAGUGUUUCCUUCAAAUAAAUGAAUAGGGAAUGAAUAAACAAAUAAAUUCAUCAGCAUUUGUCUGCUACUUUUAACAAAUAAAUAUUUAGA